rnacentral:rRNA from 1 species
UACGUAGGGUGCAAGCGUUGUUCGGAAUUAUUGGGCGUAAAGAGCUCGUAGGCGGUCUGUCACGUCGGAUGUGAAAAUCCAGGGCUCAACCCUGGACCUGCAUUCGAUACGGGCAGACUAGAGUUCGGUAGGGGAGACUGGAAUUCCUGGUGUAGCGGUGAAAUGCGCAGAUAUCAGGAGGAACACCAGUGGCGAAGGCGGGUCUCUGGGCCGAAACUGACGCUGAGGAGCGAAAGCGUGGGGAGCAAACAGG